AUAUGUACACUCACGUAAGUAAAUUAACAUGUAAAAAAUAAAGCCUGUAAAGACAUUUCGGGCCUUUUACUAGGACUCACAAAUCAAAUUGUUGCAAGAGAUAUUUUUAGGGUUUGUUUAAUUCUGCAGCGACGAUGAAAAGCGACGAUGAGACGGCGAAACUAGCUUCGACGGAGGAGGAAACGAGUGUCGAAGAUGAAUACGACACAAGCAUGGAAGAGGAAAGCGAUAGCGAUAACGAAGGCUUAUGGAGUGUCGACGAAGAAGAAGAUGACGUCGAGAGAUCUCCGACAAUUAACUAUUCAAACAUGAUAGAACCGGAACCGGAGUGGGAUAAGGACAGUUACGAUGGUUACGAAUGCGUAUUCGAUCCUGACGGCCGUGAAGGCUUCCCCAACGACGAGGCGUACGAAGACUUCCGCGAGUAUAAGAUCCAGGCCUGGAAGAAUAGGGGGUUUUUAGAAGAUCCAUUCAGAUCCGUCUACCCCAUUUUAGAUCUGGAAGAUCUUUGGUCAGACAGGGUAAACGCGACUAGGAGGCAAUAUUUGACAAAUAUUGCUUCCCUAUGUGUUAAGAAACUCAAUGAGGAGAAGGGUUCGUCUGUGGAAGUUGUAAGCAUUGCGAGAAGCAAUCUAAAACCAGGAGGUGGGUAUAAGCUGUACAUCACCUUUAUGGCUCGAGAGUAUCCGGAUGGUCCUAUAGUGGAGUAUCAAGCCACCAAGGCAAUCGAUUUUGCAGGAGGCAGAAAACCUCCCUUUCCCAUUCUCUGCAGACCAGCCUCUAGCAUAUCCUAAUCUAUGACUUGCGUAAGGUUUCUUUAUUAUUCAGUGUAACUACUUAGUAGCUCUGAUAAUUUUGUUUGGAAUUACUUAUGAGCUUUUGUCAAUUUUUGUGGAGGAAUGGAUGUAAACAAAAAGUGAUUUUCUUAGUUAUGGGAAUAUUAUUAUUUUUAUGUAGUUUUUUGGAUGAUUGUCUUUCUGAAUUCAAAUAUUCACUCUUAAUCAUUGCAAAAUUGGUCUGUUGUUUUGCUGGUCUCCGCAUAACACAAAGAUCGAAGCUGAGUCCGAGGUAGGUUUCUUUUUUGUAUUAUUGUCAGAUAACACGGUCGUGUUUAUUUAACUCAUACGACGUUAGGUUGCUGAUUAAUAAGUUUCUGUUUAUUGGACUAAUAAACUUGUGGCAUUCUCUUGUGUAUUUGGAAGGUUUUUAGAUAAUGCAAGUUUUCAUCAGGAGACUAUACAAUGAAAGCUCUCAUCCAAGUAGUCUAACCGAGUCCUUAGUAUUAUUAUCACCAAUUCACUAUGAGAGGAUAAUUAUUUCCCUUAACAAAAGUAUUUCUGAGUGCUGAUUUUUCGUGCUAAGUGUUUUAAUUCAUUCAAAGAGAAGAGACAUUUUAAAGAUCAAGGUCACUGAGAAUGGAUAUUUAUUGUACUGAUUGAUUAGCUUGGCAGGUUUGUGAGGUGUUUGUACACGCAAACAUAAAGUAAUCUUAUUUCUUUACGGUAAAAUGAGGAGAAAAGGACAUGCAAUACGUAUCGAUUGGUUGAACAUACUGACCUGUAAUGAACCGAACAGGCUUAAGAUGAAUAUAAUUCUAAACUACGACUGAAAAGUCAACACUCGUUGAACGGCUCUGAUUUAAUGUUUGCUGAGGGAUAUUUAUAGGGUUUGUUCGAUGAAGAUGUCAAGCGACGAUGUGACGCCGAACCGAUCUUCGACGGAGGAGGAAUCCGACUCUUCUGUCUCGAAAAAGCUGAAAGUCGAAGAUGAAGACGACAGAAACAUGGAAGACGAAAGCGAUACCGACAGCCGACAAGCAUUGAGUGUCGAGACAGAAGAGGAUAUGAUGAAGGAGUCGUGAGACCUCCUAGAAAUAAUUUUUUUAACAUGCAAGACCCGGAACCGGAGUGGGACAAGGACAGCUUCGAUGGUUACGAAUGCUACGACCCUGAGGACCGUGAAAGCUUCUCCAACGACGAGGAGUACGAAGAGUUCCGCGAAUUUAAGUUCCAGGCCUGGAAGAAUAAGGGUUUUUAUGAAGAAGGUCCAUUCAGGUACAUCUUUCCCCUUACUGAUCUGGAACAACGUUUUAGAAACAUGACAACAAGGGAAUAUUUGGCGGAUAUUGCUUCCUUGUGUGUUAAGAAACUCAACGAGGAGAAGGUUAGUACUCAUCAAUUCAAAUAUAUAUUUUUAUUUUGUUUUAAUUUGAUGAGAAUCUCACAGAUAGGAUGAACGUGUGUGUAACUUACUUAGGUCUGUGGAAUUUGUAAGUAUAGUGAGAGGCAAUCUAAAAGCAGGAGAUGGGUGGAAGCUUUACAUCACCUUUACGGCUCGAGAGUAUCUGGAUGGUCCACUCGUGGAGUAUCAAGCCAAGGCCAUGGAUUUUGCAGGAGGUGAAACACCUCCCUUCCCCAUUAUCUGCAGACCAGCUCCUUCCAUGUCCUAAUGACUUGCAUAGGUUUGUCUUCAUGUCAGCUAUGUCUUUGGCGCUUGUACGGUAUAAAUAUGUAGUUUAAUAAUGGUCUAAAUUAUGUUUAGUGUUUAUUUGCAUCUUUGACAUUUAAAUAAGGAGGAUAUUUAUACUCGACAUUCUUGCAUUGAGGGGAGAUGUUUACUGUUAGAUAACAUGAUCAUGAUAAAUCUGAUGUUUAUAUAACUCGUAUAACGUUAGGUUGUUGAUUAAUAAGUUUCUGUUUAAUUGGACUAACGAAUUUUGGGGCAUUCUCUAGUGUAUUUGGAAGGUGAUGCAAAUUUUUUCAUCAUCUGAAUAUACAAUGAAAGCUCUCAUCGCAGCAUGAUCCAAAAUCCCAGUGGUCUAAUUGAGUCUAUGAUAUAUAAUCACAAAUUCACCAUGAGAGGAUGAUUCUUUCCCUAACAAAAUUAAUUUCAAGAUUGUGAUUUUCGUAAUGACUACUUUCCUACCUGCAAUGACCAAAUAUUUUAAAGAUCAAGGACGGUCAUUGAGACUCGAAAGUUAUUUUACUGAUUAGCUUGGCGGGGUUGGUCAGGCACUUUCUUCAGUGUUCUUUAAGUCACGCCGUGGUCUACCAAUUAUUUAUUUAUUUAUUUCUUUGAUAAAAAUGUGAA